GUCGAGAAUCUUCCGCAGUGCGCGAAAGCGUGACGGAGCGACACCGCGUGAUGGAUGAAGUCCUUCGGGGCGUAAACAUCUUUUAUAAAGGAGGAAAUUUUUGACGUUACUUUAUGAAUAAGGGGCUCCCAAUCUCGUGCCAGCAGGAGCGGUAAUACGAGAGCCUCAAGCGUUAUCCGGAAUCAUUGGGCGUAAAGGGUGCGUAGGUGGUUUGAUUAGUCUCCCGUUAAAACUUCGAGCUUAACUCGAAAAGAGCGGGGGAAACGGUCAAACUAGAGUAUGUGAGAGGUGUGUGGAACUCAUGGUGUAGGGGUGAAAUCCGUUGAUAUCAUGGGGAACACCAAAAGCGAAGGCAGCACACUGGCACAUCACUGACACUGAGGCACGAAACCUAAGGUAGCGAAUGGGAUUAGAUACCCCGGUAGUCC
rnacentral:rRNA from 1 species